rnacentral:rRNA from 1 species
GACGAACGCUGGCGGCGUGCCUAAUACAUGCAAGUCGAGCGAAUGGAUUAAGAGCUUGCUCUUAUGAAGUUAGCGGCGGACGGGUGAGUAACACGUGGGUAACCUGCCCAUAAGACUGGGAUAACUCCGGGAAACCGGGGCUAAUACCGGAUAACAUUUUGAACCGCAUGGUUCGAAAUUGAAAGGCGGCUUCGGCUGUCACUUAUGGAUGGACCCGCGUCGCAUUAGCUAGUUGGUGAGGUAACGGCUCACCAAGGCAACGAUGCGCAGCCGACCUGAGAGGGUGAUCGGCCACACUGGGACUGAGACACGGCCCAGACUCCUACGGGAGGCAGCAGUAGGGAAUCUUCCGCAAUGGACGAAAGUCUGACGGAGCAACGCCGCGUGAGUGAUGAAGGCUUUCGGGUCGUAAAACUCAGUUGUUAGGGAAGAACAAGUGCUAGUUGAAUAAGCUGGCACCUUGACGGUACCUAACCAGAAAGCCACGGCUAACUACGUGCCAGCCGCCGCAGUAA